rnacentral:rRNA from 1 species
AUUGAACGCUGGCGGCAGGCCUAACACAUGCAAGUCGAGCGGAUGAAGGGAGCUUGCUCCUGGAUUCAGCGGCGGACGGGUGAGUAAUGCCUAGGAAUCUGCCUGGUAGUGGGGGAUAACGUCCGGAAACGGGCGCUAAUACCGCAUACGUCCUGAGGGAGAAAGUGGGGGAUCUUCGGACCUCACGCUAUCAGAUGAGCCUAGGUCGGAUUAGCUAGUUGGUGGGGUAAAGGCCUACCAAGGCGACGAUCCGUAACUGGUCUGAGAGGAUGAUCAGUCACACUAGAACUGAGACACGGACCAGACUCCUACGGGAGGCAGCAGUGGGGAAUAUUGGACAAUGGGCGGAAGCCUGAUACAGCCAGGGCGCGUGUGUGAAGGAGGUCUUCGGAUUGUAAAGCACUUUAAGUUGGGAGGAAGGGCAGUAAGUUAAUACCUUGCUGUUUUGACGUUACCAACAGAAUAAGCACCGGCUAACUUCGUG